rnacentral:rRNA from 1 species
CCUACGGGUGGCAGCAGUGAGGAAUAUUGGUCAAUGGCCGGAAGGCUGAACCAGCCAAGCCGCGUGAAGGACGAAGGUGCCAAGCAUUGUAAACUUCUUUUGUCAAGGGACAAAAUCAGGCUCGAGAGCCUGACCGAGGGUACUUGAAGAAAAAGCAUCGGCUAACUCCGUCCCAGCAGCCGCGGUAAUACGGAGGAUGCGAGCGUUAUCCGGUUUUAUUGGGUUUAAAGGGUGCGUAGGCGGGCUGUUAAGUCAGCGGUAAAAGCCCGGGGCUCAACCCCGGCGAGCCGUUGAAACUGGCUGUCGUGAGAUGGCGAGAGGUAUGGGGAAGGCGUAGUGUAGCGGUGAAAUGCUUAGAUAUUGCGCAGAACUCCGAUUGCGAAGGCAGCAUACCGGCGGCGAUCUGACGCUGAGGCACGAAAGCGUGGGUAUCGAACAGGAUUAGAUACCCGGGUAGUC